CCUCUAGGAGACAACUGACUGCUUCCUUAACACACUUUCAUCGAAGCCCUAGAGCAUGACGGGGGUACGCAAAGAAGGAGGUGUCAUAAGAGCUUGGCCACGACUCACAAAGCGCAUCCAGGAACCCUUCUCCUGAAAGCGCUGGCAGGGAGCUCUGUCUGGUGGCCUGGAGAGUCUGAGUUGGAGGAGCCUGGGAGGGGGACACCGCCAGGUUGUCCUGCCCCGGAGCUGGCUGUCCCGUGGGCAGAGACCAAGAAGCACGGCUGGGACUCCACAGGGAUGGAAAAGGGCUUUGUUCUUCCUUCCCUUUCCACGUGGAGAAUGAGGACUUGGUGUAGGCAUUCUUGCUUAUGAAAAGAGCAAGAUAAUGGGAAGGAAAGAUCCGGUCUCCCUACAUCAGACCCUCCCUGGCCUGAACCCACCCUCGCUUCACACAGUCUCAGCGGCUGCUGGGCUCUGAUCUGCCGGAUGGAGGAGUAACCAGCAGCAAGCAAGCAAGGUCGGGGUGGCUGGAUAUUCAGGGCCCAUUUUUGAGUCUCACCCGCCAGUGCCAAACCAAUCGCAAACCUUGAGAAGUUCAGAGAAAAUCCACUAGAGGGCACUGCAGCACCACCCUGAAAAGACCAACCCGCGACAGCUUUUUCCCAUGCAAUUAAGGAAGAACAACCGUGCUACCCUACUGAGCAUCGUCAAGCACGAGCCCUGGGCUCGAUGCUGAGGUGCAGAGGUCAGGGCACAGGUGCUGUUCAUUUGAGCUGGAGGUGGGCUCAGAGCCUCCCAGGCCGGUGAGGAGGCUGUGCCAGAACUUAGCAGGUCCGUGCUGCAUUCACAAGCGCUUCACCUGAGAAGGAAGGAAGGGGAACCUCCACUCAGGCUGGCCUCCCUGAUGUUUCCAAGCAUCCUUGUGACAUCUGGCGAUGCGAGCAACCCUGUCCCCUGAGCCUGUGACCCAAAAGACAUCAGGGCACUACAGGUGUCCGUGCUGGGGAGGGUGCCUGUGGAGUUGGUGGCCAGCUCAUCCUGGGACUGCCCCUCCACAAGGUCAUGCCAUCGACAGCAGAGAACUAUGUACUAACAACAAAGUAAAAUUAUAUUCA